AUACGGAGGAUGCAAGCGUUAUCCGGAUUCAUUGGGUUUAAAGGGUGCGUAGGCUGGCUUGUAAGUCAGUGGUGAAAUGCUGUGGCUUAACCAUAGAAUUGCCAUUGAUACUGCAAGUCUUGAGUACAGUUGAGGUGGGCGGAAUGAGUAAUGUAGCGGUGAAAUGCAUAGAUAUUACUCAGAACUCCGAUUGCGAAGGCAGCUUGCUAAACUGUAACUGACGCUGAUGCACGAAAGCGUGGGUAGCGAACAGGAUUAGAUACCCUGGUAGUCCACGCCGUAAACGAUGAGCACUGGUUGUUGGCGAUACAUAGUCAGCGACUGAGCGAAAGUAUUAAGUGCUCCACCUGGGGAGUACGUUGGCAACAAUGAA
rnacentral:rRNA from 1 species